UAAAGGAAGCGAUUCCGGCUACGGAUGGUCAUGCGUCGCAUUAGCUAGUUGGCGGGGUAACGGCCCACCAAGGCGACGAUGCGUAGGGGUUCUGAGAGGAAGGUCCCCCACACUGGUACUGAGACACGGACCAGACUCCUACGGGAGGCAGCAGUGAGGAAUAUUGGUCAAUGGCCGCAGGGCUGAACCAGCCAAGUCGCGUGAGGGAUGACGGUCCUAUGGAUUGUAAACCUCUUUUGUCAGGGAGCAAAGGGCGCCACGUGUGGCGUUUUGCGAGUACCUGAAGAAAAAGCAUCGGCUAACUCCGUGCCAGCAGCCGCGGUAAUACGGAGGAUGCGAGCGUUAUCCGGAUUUAUUGGGUUUAAAGGGUGCGCAGGCGGAAUGUCAAGUCAGCGGUAAAAUUUCGGGGCUCAACCCCGUCGUGCCGUUGAAACUGGCGUUCUUGAGUGAGCGAGAAGUAUGCGGAAUGCGUGGUGUAGCGGUGAAAUGCAUAGAUAUCACGCAGAACUCCGAUUGCGAAGGCAGCAUACCGGCGCUCAACUGACGCUCAUGCACGAAAGCGUGGGUAUCGAACAGGAUUAGAUACCCUGGUAGUCCACGCAGUAAACGAUGAAUACUAACUGUCCGGGCCGAUUGAGGUCUGG
rnacentral:rRNA from 1 species